rnacentral:rRNA from 1 species
CGGUGCGCGCACUCGUGCGCGUCGCACGGCCUAACGAACCCCGGCGCGAAAAGCGUCAAGGAACACUCAAAACGCCGCCCGCCCUCGGUGCCCCGUUCGCGGCGUGCACCCGGGGGAUCGGACGCGUGUCGAAAUCAAAACGACUCUCGGCAACGGAUAUCUUGGCUCUCGCAUCGAUGAAGAACGCAGCAAAAUGCGAUACUUGGUGUGAAUUGCAGAAUCCCGUGAACCAUCGAGUUUUUGAACGCAAGUUGCGCCCGAAGCCAUUAUGCCGAGGGCACGUCUGCCUGGGCGUCACGCACAUCGUCGCCCUCCGCCUCGGCCCGUAAAGGGAUCGCGGGUGUUGGGUCGGAUAUUGGCCCCCCGUGCGCUUCGGCGCGCGGUCGGCCCAAAUGUGAUUCGGCAUCGACGCGUGCCGCGACGAUUGGUGGUUGAAGAACUCAACUCGCGCGUUGUCGCGGCGUCGUUCGGCUCGAACGUGUUGACCCCGACGGUGCAUCGCACCUC